ACGAACGCUGGCGGCGUGCUUCACACAUGCAAGUCGCACGGAAAGGCCCUGCUUUUGUGGGGUGCUCGAGUGGCGAACGGGUGAGUAACACGUGAGUAACCUGCCCUUGACUUUGGGAUAACUUCAGGAAACUGGGGCUAAUACCGGAUAGGAGCUCCUGCUGCAUGGUGGGGUUUGGAAAGUUUCGGCGGUUGGGGAUGGACUCGCGGCUUAUCAGCUUGUUGGUGGGGUAGUGGCUUACCAAGGCUUUGACGGGUAGCCGGCCUGAGAGGGUGACCGGCCACAUUGGGACUGAGAUACGGCCCAGACUCCUACGGGAGGCAGCAGUGGGGAAUAUUGCACAAUGGGCGGAAGCCUGAUGCAGCAACGCCGCGUGCGGGAUGACGGCCUUCGGGUUGUAAACCGCUUUCGCCUGUGACGAAGCGUGAGUGACGGUAAUGGGUAAAGAAGCACCGGCUAACUACGUG
rnacentral:rRNA from 1 species